UUUUUUGUUCAAUAUAUUUCCUGUUUCAUUAAAAACUAAUUAACUGUGAACCUGUUGAAAAUUUCUUUUCCAUACUUUUUUUUUCAUGUUGUCAUUUGAAUAUUAACAUAUUGUUGACCAAAGUCUGUUUUAAAUAUAGGCGAACAAUUUGUAUAAACGGACCACAUCUGUUUCAAAAUGAAUCAGAAUUCAAAUCAAUAUAAAAUUAUUCCUGUAUCUAACAGAUGCUCAGGUCUUUUGUACAUAGCCUGGCAAUGCUGCCUAUACACUCAAUACAAGUGCUUCCAUCUAGGAAAAAAUUUUGAAGUUGUAUUUAUUUAUUCGAAGACUGAAGCAAAACAGCACCAGUGUUGUAUUUCAAUAUUUGUUUAUAUAAAAGAUUGAUGUUUUCUAGAUGAUAUCUGAGAUGUGUAUUUGUUAAAGGAGUUAUUUAUUUUAUAAUCUUCAAACAUUUAAUUCAACAAAUAAUCUAAAUCUGAUAGACAAAAAAACUGC
rnacentral:lncRNA from 1 species